AUCUAAAUCAUCUCGUGUGAAGGUAUGUUAAGGUUCAUCAAGUGUGUGCUAUAGUAGAAUCUACAGCAGUUUUUAGGACUUAUCUACAAAGAAGAAAGAAAAUCCUGCAGUGGCAAUGCAGACAAACUCUGAAUUGAAAGGAUAAAGAAAUACCUUUGGCUUGCCAGCACAAACCCAAACAACAGCAAAAGGUCCUUAACAACCUGAGGAAUCCAGAGAAGUGUUUUAGGAAAUGCCUGAUUAAUGCUUAUAUAAUGACAUUGACAAAAAUUGAUGAGCACAUUCAUACAAAAAGGAUAUGAUUUGAGUCAACAUUCAUAUUUUACUUCCCAUCUCUGGUACAUCAAAUAUCGGAAGGUUUAGGAACAUCGUCUCCCACUGAAGCCAGACAAGACAUCCUUCUCCUACAUAGGUGUCCGAGACCAUGACUAUCCAGUGACACUACAAUGAUCAGCAUUCAGAUGAACUUUAGUCCACGGAACUCAAGAAAUGUCACAGCUUUAGCUUCCCUGUCUGGGUGGCUUAUGAAAUAUCUAAAUUCAGCUGCACAGGGGCAAUUCCCCUUAAAACCUUGGUUCAGCAAAAAAACCAGCAGCAAAGAAUCUUUUACCACAGAUUCCACAACCAACUUACAUUCUACUAAAAUACCUUAUUCAUGUGUAAUUAAAGAUUAAAAAGUUCUUUUAUGAAUCACUUGGACACUUAACAGUUUAUCUGUUUGCAUAACCCCUCAUGUUCUAUGGGAUCCUACUUCCAGUAACUCAUUAUUUGGGAGUGACCUCUCAAAAAAGAUUUUUUUUUGUAGAAAAUCGAACUGAAAAUUGUCUCAAGAUAUUUGGGGAUGAUGACAAUAUAUUUUAUAAAGUUACUCAAAAAAAGGUCUGAUGACAUAAAGAUGCCUUCAGGUUCGCUAAAAACUGUUCAUAAACCGUGUGCUAUGAAAGAAGCCAUAGGUAACCACAGUGAGAAAACUUUCUCUAAUGAUAAUGCUGAAGAAUUAAAGAUUACAUCUGCUGCCCCUCAGAAGAAAGGUCCUACAGACAGCAGUGCACAACAGAGCAACUUCCACAUAUUGUAUGUAACAGUGUGAUCAAGUGGUAGAGGAUGACUGACGAAGGUUCCAGCCCUCUCUUUUUCAAUGAGCCUUUGCACCUCCCGCUUAGCCAUAGAAGACUAUAUUAUUACAAGACACUCCUGUUAUUAUAUUUUACUAUAUUAUUGAUUACAAACAGUUUUCAC
rnacentral:lncRNA from 1 species